CUCUCCCUCCCGGCCAGUGGAGACCCUGCUUUGGAACCACCUUCCGGCCUACAAGGACUCUGCCACAGCCGGCUAGGGAUGGCCUUGGUCCUUUUCCUGGCCUGAAGCCACAGGACGGGGACCCGGGCAAAGGCUCCCCCCCAGGCCCCACCGGCGCCUCUCGGAACAGACCCUUAAUUCUGCCAUUUGUGGCCCAGCGGGGCUGAGCCGUAGCCAGAAGAGGGGAGAACAGUUGGACCAUCGGAAAGCAAGGGGGGAGCGCAGCCUCGCGACAGGAUUCCUCGGAGACCGUGGAUGGCAAGAACGAAGCGCUUCCUUCCGCCUGGAUGCCCCCGAUGUGAGAAAUCGAAGCAUUGACUUUGUAGGUUUCCCCAAAUCUUUGGAAGACAAGGGACUUGGGUUGAGGGUGAUACCCCAGUCUCGUGGGCUCUUCUGUCGGGAGAAGCCGUGUCACUUUGACACAUCACAUUCUUGUUGACUCUGUGGUGGGUGACUCCUUCCCAGUCCACCCCCGAAGAGAGCCGUGCCUCGAAAAUAGUUACGUGGGCUUUGUUGCAUUGUCUUUGCAGACGCUGCGACAGCCCUGGAAAAAGCUGGAUUUCUCCUCUUUGUUUUCUCCUCCUCCUCCUGUUCCUUGUGCAAGACCACUGAUCGAGAGAGCAUCUGUGCUUCGUCUUCCUCACACCCCAAAGCUCUAGACUGUGGCUCAUGAUGAAGGGGAGAGGUGCCCUUCUCAAGGGCCAUGAAAUGUUGGGGAUGCUCUGAGACAGAUGGGGAGGACGCCCUCCCAGUGAUCCGGCCAGCCUGCCCGCCUGCUGCUCCAUGCCUGGUCUGCAGGAGCCGGCAUCAUGGCACGGCCUGGCACAGGGACCCUGGUCUUGGCCAACGGACUGGGCUUCCCUCCCAGUAACGUGGCCCGGGUGGUGGUGUGGGAGUGGCUGAACGAGCACGGGCGCUGGAGGCCCUACACGGCGGCGGUGUGCCACCACAUCGAGAAUGUCCUGAAGGAGGAUGCCCGGGGGAGCGUGGUCUUGGGGCAGGUGGAUGCCCAGCUCUCCCCCUACAUCAUCGAUCUGCAGUCCAUGCACCAGUUCCGCCAGGACACAGGGACGAUGCGCCCGGUGCGAAGGAACUUCUAUGAGCCCUCUUCUGCUCCUGGCAAGGGCAUCGUGUGGGAAUGGGAGAAUGACAACAGCUCAUGGACCCCGUACGACAUGGACAUCUGCAUCACCAUCCAAAAUGCUUAUGAGAAGCAGCACCCCUGGCUGGAUUUGUCCUCCCUGGGGUUUUGCUACCUGAUCUAUUUCAACAGCAUGUCUCAGGUGAACCGCCAGACGCAGCGGAAGCGCCGUCUCCGAAGACGCAUGGACUUGGCCUACCCCCUGACCAUGGGCUCCAUCCCUAAAUCCCAGUCCUGGCCUGUGGGAAGCAACUCCGGCCAUCCUUGUUCGUGCCAGCAAUGCCUGCUGGUCAACAGCACCCGAGCGGCCUCGAACGCCAUCCUGGCCUCCCAGCGCAGGAAGGUCUAUUCAGGGAACGGCAACGGGACGCUGGCUGUCCGUCAGAGCAGUACGUUCAACGGGACCGCGUUGUGGUCCUUGGGCACCAUGCAAGCGAACGGGGCGGCCAAGAUCGAGCAGGUCCGCGCAGCCAAUGGGAUGCAAGUGGCUACUUUUGCACGGAGUCAGAGUGCUCCCAGCAGUGCUCAGCUCCCGGGUCAAAACAACCUCAACCGACCUGGUACACAACGAAUGGCUAUCCUCAGCACGAGGGCUUCAGUCCCACCAGGGGUUCCCGCCCUCCCAGUUAAGAACCUGAAUGGAACUGGCCCAGUCCACCCGGCCCUGGCAGGGAUGACAGGCAUUUUGAUGUGUGCUGCCGGCCUGCCCGUCUGUCUCACUCGAGCCCCGAAGCCCAUCUUGCACCCGCCGCCGGUCAACAAGAGUGACAUGAAGCCGGUGCCUGGCAUCACCGGAAUUUGCCGGAAGACUAAGAAGAAACAUUUGAAAAAAAGCAAGAACUCUGAAGACGUGGUGCGGCGUUAUAUCCAAAAAGUGAAGAACCCCCCAGAGGAGGACUGCACUAUCUGCAUGGAGAGACUGGCAUCCUUGUCAGGCUACGAGGGCAUUCUCAGGCACAAGGGGGCCAAGCCGGAGGUGGUGGGGAAGCUGGGCAAAUGUGGACACAUGUACCAUCUCCUUUGCUUGGUUGCAAUGUACAACAAUGGCAACAAGCAGGACGGAAGCUUGCAAUGCCCCACUUGCAAAGCCAUCUAUGGGGAGAAGACUGGAACCCAGCCCCCUGGGAAGAUGGAAUUCCACAUUAUCCCUCACUCCCUCCCGGGCUACCUGGACUGCAAAACCAUCCGCAUCGUGUAUGAUAUUCCCGCAGGUAUCCAGGGCCCCGAGCACCCAAACCCUGGGAAGAAGUUUACUGCGCGAGGCUUCCCCCGUCACUGCUACCUUCCUGACAACGAGAAAGGCAGAAAGAUCCUGAAAUUGCUGAUCAUGGCAUGGGAACGCCGGCUCAUCUUUACCAUCGGAACCUCCAACACGACGGGCGAAUCCGACACCGUGGUGUGGAAUGAGAUCCACCACAAGACCGAGUUCGGGUCUAACCUAACUGGCCACGGCUACCCUGACCCCAACUACCUGGACAACGUCCUGGCCGAACUGAUGGCCCAGGGGGUGACGGAGGCGCACCUGAAGGAUUGAGGACCCCCCCUUGGGCUCUCCUCCGCCCAUUCCCUCCCCAUCCCCCCACACUUUGCCAUGUGCUGCGUGGAAGCGUAAACACUGCCUGUGUCCGUCUGUCAGCCCAUCCGUGAGACGUGUUCUCUGUCUGUCUGUCUGGCUCUCUCCACCAGCGUUUGGAGUAGAUUCCCUUUGCCUCCCAUGUUGCUUCAGCUGGCUAGCGUUUGGAUGCUCAUGGCCCAGCCACACCGGAUGUGGCCGAAGAGGGCUGUGAGAAGCCUGCUCACCUCCGGGGCCCGGCCUGUCCGUGUAAUUUCUCGUUUGGAGGAACAGCAAGAAAACCACACAAAAACUGUGCAAGUGCAAUCCAGAGACGGGCCAAAGCCAGGAUGCCUAUGCAGUUCCUUAAGCAGAUCCAGAACCUGCAGUUUUCCUAGGCCACCGACAGUCGAUUUUUCGAUUUGCAAACAUUCCUUUGCACCCUCUGAUGGUGGUGGUGAAUUUUGUUAUAGUUGAGGAUGCUUCUUUCAAGCCAGGAACACUGCUUCUGAAAGCGUGCAAAGGGACUCUUUUUUUUUCAUUAAAAAAUUAAUCAAGGUGUGUUGGAUGAUGGAGGAGGAAGAGAGGGAUAGCCUUCCAAGGUUUGGGGGGGAGCGUGUUUCUCCCCAAGGAAGUUUUGGAAGUUGCUCCAUAUUUCUCACUCUUAGGACUAAAGGAUGGUCUUGAAGGGGAGUGGAAUGCGUCUGCACAGGCUUGCUUUUCCUACAGCAGAACCUGAGAACACUUUGCGAUAAAAAUUUGUCUGGUGAAUCUUGGCUAAGCAGCUUUCCUCCCCCAUCUUUAUGGAGCAGGGGGGAGGGUUUAAGACCUUUCUGCUUCACAAGGUAGUCUGUUUGGAUAUCUAGGUGUUAAAGCUGGAUUGGGGCCAGAGUCACCCAAAUGGGAAGGAAAUAGGGGGAAAAAAUCUUGCAAUAUUGACCGGUUUGGGUCGUUCACGAGUAUACUGCAAAAAUGAGAAGCAGCAGUAUUAACGAAUGCUUUCCUACUGGGAAAGGGAACCAAUGAGAUGCAGCAUUCGGCCCAUGCCCACAGAAUGAGAAGGCAGGGCUCCGCACCCUGGAGCAGAGCAAGCUUACUGGAUUUAGAAUUACAUAAAGCCAGGAGAUGGUCUGGACAUAACCCUUCAUUUUUAUUGCAAUGGCAGCAAAAUCUUUACUUCAGCCUUUAACGAGACAAAUGCAAUUUCUCUUUUACAAAAAUCUCAUCUUGAAAUAAAUGUGAAAGCAUCAAAAGCUUU